AAGGUGGGGCUGAUGACUGGGGUGAAGUCGUAACAAGGUAGCCGUACCGGAAGGUGCGGCUGGAUCACCUCCUAACAGGGAGACAAUAAAUUGAUUGUGAUGUCUAAGUUAUUUAUUCUUAGGCCGCAAUCCUGUCACCUUAAGGUCGAUCGGUACCUCAGAUUUUUGAAUUAGUUUUAUAAUUGAUUCUUUGAUUUCAGUUCCUAAACUUGUCUAGGUCACACCCAACAAAGGUUUCUCCUGGGCCAUUAGCUCAGGUGGUUAGAGCGCACCCCUGAUAAGGGUGAGGUCCCUGGUUCAAGUCCAGGAUGGCCCAUUCGUUGUUGGGGGUAUAGCUCAGUUGGUAGAGCGCCUGCUUUGCAAGCAGGAUGUCAGCGGUUCGAGUCCGCUUACCUCCACUGAAAACUAUCCUGAUAACUAAUUUCUGGAGAAAAAAAAUUGUAGAUGUGGCUUAGAAUUGUCUAUUUGAAAAGAACCUAGCUUCUUGUCAUCUUUUUAUAGUUGAUAAAAUGCUGGGCUCGCAUGGAUUAUUUCCAUGAGAAUUCAGUAGAACCUUGAAAACUGCAUAGAUUAGAAAGAAUAAAGCAUCUCAUGGAUGCAUAGUUCUGUUUUUAUAAUUUAGCCUCAAAACUAAAUUAUUUAAUUCUAGAAUUCAUGUUUAAUUCUUGAGUAAUAGCCGAGCACAAUUAAUUUUGUGAUUGUAUUUAAGGUCAAGCUAUAAAGGGCUCA
rnacentral:misc_RNA from 1 species